AACGAACGCUGGCGGCAGGCUUAACACAUGCAAGUUGAACGGGAUUUGAUGGUAGCUUGCUAUCAUUGAAGAGAGUAGCGCACUGGUGAGUAACACGUGGGAACAUACCUUUUUGGUGGGGGACAACAGUUGGAAACGACUGCUAAUACCGCAUAAGCCCUGAGGGGGAAAGAUUUAUCGAUUAUGGAUAGGCAUGCGCAUGAUUAGCUAGUUGGUGGGGUAACGGCUCACCAAGGCGACGAUCAUUAGGGGUUCUGAGAGGAAGGUCCCCCACACUGGAACUGAGACACGGUCCAGACUCCUACGGGAGGCAGCAGUGGGGAAUAUUGCACAAUGGGCGAAAGCCUGAUGCAGCAACGCCGCGUGAAGGAAGAAGGUCUUCGGAUCGUAAACUUCUGUCCUUAGGGAAGAUAAUGACGGUACCUUUGGAGGAAGCCCCGGCUAACUACGUG
rnacentral:rRNA from 1 species